AAUGUGGAAUUCGCCCUUGUGCCAGCCGCCGCGGUAAUUCCAGCUCCAAUAAGGAAAACUAAAGUUGCUGUGUUAAAAAGCUCGUAGUUGAAUUUCGGGUAUUUGUUGCUAGCUGGUCUAACUGGCCAUGUUGGUUAACAGAUCCUCAUUUGCUGGACGGCUGGCGAUGAUCUUUAUCGAUUGUCGUCAGUUGCCAGAACGUUUACUUUGAGAAAAUUAGAGUGCUAAAAGCAGGCUCACGCCUAUAUAUAUUGCAUGGAAUAAUGAAAUAAGAUCUCGAUUUUAUUUCGUUGGUUUUAGAAAUUGAGAUAAUGAUUAAUAGGAUCAGAGGGGGGCGUACGUACUGUGGUGUGAGAGGUGAAAUUCUUGGAUCGCCACAGGACGAGCAGCAGCGAAGGCGUUCGCCAAGAAUGUUUUCAUUAAUCAAGAACGAAAGUUUGAGGUUCGAAGACGAUUAGAUACCGUCCUAGUUCAAACCAUAAACGUUGCCAACUGUCUUUUAGAUGCGGUUAUUUAUAUGACUCAUCUGGCGGAUCUCGAGAAAUCUAAGUUUUUAGGUUCCGGGGGAAGUAUGGUUGCAAAGCUGAAACUUAAAAGAAUUGACGGAAGGACACACAAGAAGUGGAGCCUGUGGCCUAAUUUGACUCAACACGGGAAACCUUACUCGGCCAGGACACUUUUAGGAUUGACAGAUUGAGAGCUCUUUCUUGAUUAGGUGGGUGGUGGUGCAUGGUCGUUCGUAGUUCGUGGAGCGAUUUGUCUGAUUAAUUUCGAUAACGAACGAGACUCCGGCUUACUAAAUAGUCUAAAGUUCGAAGGGACUUUUCAAGACUUCUU
rnacentral:rRNA from 1 species